GACGGGACCGCACAAGCGGUGGAUGAUGUGGUUUAAUUCGAUGCAACGCGAAAACCUUACCCACCUUUGACAUGUACGGAAGCCUUUAGAGAUAGAGGCGUGCUCGAAAGAGAGCCGUAACACAGGUGCUGCAUGGCUGUCGUCAGCUCGUGUCGUGAGAUGUUGGGUUAAGUCCCGCAACGAGCGCAACCCUUGUCAUUAGUUGCUACAUUCAGUUGGGCAUUCUAAUGAGACUGCCGGUGACAAGCCGGAGGAAGGUGGGGAUGACGUCAAGUCCUCAUGGCCCUUAUAGGUGGGGCUACACACGUCAUACAAUGGCUGGUACAAAGGGUUGCCAACCCGCGAGGGGGAGCUAAUCCCAUAAAGCCAGUCGUAGUCCGGAUCGUAGUCUGCAACUCGACUACGUGAAGUCGGAAUCGCUAGUAAUCGUGGAUCAGAAUGUCACGGUGAAUACGUUCCCGGGUCUU
rnacentral:rRNA from 1 species